GGGCCGUUAGCUCAGUGGUAGAGCAACCGCCUUUUAAGCGGUUGGUCGCUGGUUCGAUCCCAGCACGGCCCA
rnacentral:tRNA from 1 species